rnacentral:rRNA from 1 species
UGCAGUCGAACGGUAACAGCACUUCGGUGGCUGACGAGUGGCGAACGGGUGAGUAAUACAUCGGAACGUGCCCGAGAGUGGGGGAUAACGCAGCGAAAGCUGUGCUAAUACCGCAUACGAUCUACGGAUGAAAGCAGGGGACCGCAAGGCCUUGCGCUCAUGGAGCGGCCGAUGGCAGAUUAGGUAGUUGGUGGGAUAAAAGCUUACCAAGCCGACGAUCUGUAGCUGGUCUGAGAGGACGACCAGCCACACUGGGACUGAGACACGGCCCAGACUCCUACGGGAGGCAGCAGUGGGGAAUUUUGGACAAUGGGCGAAAGCCUGAUCCAGCCAUGCCGCGUGCAGGAUGAAGGCCUUCGGGUUGUAAACUGCUUUUGUACGGAACGAAAAGGUCUUUUCUAAUAAAGAAGGCUCAUGACGGUACCGUAAGAAUAAGCACCGGCUAACUACGUGCCAGCAGCCGCGGUAAUACGUAGGGUGCAAGCGUUAAUCGGAAUUACUGGGCGUAAAGCGUGCGCAGGCGGUUAUAUAAGACAGAUGUGAAAUCCCCGGGCUCAACCUGGGAACUGCAUUAGUGACUGUAUAGCUAGAGUGCGGCAGA